rnacentral:rRNA from 1 species
AGAGUUUGAUCCUGGCUCAGGACGAACGCUGGCGGCGUGCCUAAUACAUGCAAGUCGAGCGGACUUGCUGGAGCUUGCUCCAGCAGGUUAGCGGCGGACGGGUGAGUAACACGUGGGCAACCUGCCUGUAAGACUGGGAUAACUCCGGGAAACCGGAGCUAAUACCGGAUAGUAUCUUGAACCGCAUGGUUCAAGUUGGAAAGACGGUUUCGGCUGUCACUUACAGAUGGGCCCGCGGCGCAUUAGCUAGUUGGUGAGGUAAUGGCUCACCAAGGCAACGAUGCGUAGCCGACCUGAGAGGGUGAUCGGCCACACUGGGACUGAGACACGGCCCAGACUCCUACGGGAGGCAGCAGUAGGGAAUCUUCCGCAAUGGACGAAAGUCUGACGGAGCAACGCCGCGUGAGUGAUGAAGGUUUUCGGAUCGUAAAACUCUGUUGUUAGGGAAGAACAAGUGCGAGAGUAACUGCUCGCACCUUGACGGUACCUAACCAGAAAGCC